AACUUUUGAUUCUCUUCUAAAACAGACUGAGAUGCUAUGAGAAUGGAGUUGGGGACAGAAUAUAUAUUUCACGUAUUCUGGGAGGAUAGUAUCUGGCUUCCACCAAAUACAACUUGGAAGGAUGUGCAACCAACUCAGGACGGAGUAUACACGGAGUUCACGGAUCUUUGGUAUCCGAUCCCGGUUGCGUUUUUUAUCCUUCUCCUAAGGACUAUUUUUGAAAGAUACAUAUUCAAACCUCUGGGACUCUCGUUUGGUAUAAAAGAUUCCAAGCAUAUAAAACCAUCUACAAACUCAGUUCUGGAGAAAGAAUUCAGCUUAACCAAGAAAAACAAAUCAUACCAAAUAAACAUACCCAAGCUGGCUGCUGAUUUAAACAUGAGAGAGAGACAGAUAGAAUACUGGUUAAAAAGAAGAAGAUUGUACGGGAAGCCGACUACCAUGCAGAAAUUCUGUGAGACUGGUUGGAGAUGGUUCUACUACUCUUGUGUUUUUACAUACGGAGUUAUCUGUCUCUGGGACAAACCCUGGCUUUGGAAUAUCAGAUACUGCUGGUACAACUAUCCACACCAUGAUGUUCCCCAGGAAGUCUGGUGGUAUUACAUGGUGGAGCUCUCCUUCUACUGGUCUCUCUCCUUCUCACAGUUCUUCGACGUGAAGAGGAAGGAUUUUGUCGAGAUGUUUAUCCAUCACGUGACCACAAUAGCGCUUCUCUGCUUCUCUUGGACAUGCAAUCUUUUCAGGUGUGGAACACUAGUCCUGAUUAUUCUUGAUUUCGCGGAUAUAUUCCUGGAAUCUGCCAAACUCUGUCACUACGCUAAGCUUAAUACGGUCUGUGAUAUCAUCUUUGCUGUAUUUGCCGUCUGUUGGAUUAUUACAAGACUCGGCAUAUUUCCUAUAUGGAUUCUUUACAGCACAACCGUGGAGGCGCCCCAGAUGCUCGAGAUGUUCCCUGCGUACUACAUCUUUAACGUCCUUCUCACCAUUCUCCUCGUCCUUCAUGUUAUCUGGACGUAUUUUAUUCUCAAGAUUGCAUAUAAUGCUCUCUAUGCCAAAAAGGAGAAGGGCGUUGCAGACUCUAGAUCUGAUUCUAGCGGAGAAACCUGCUCCACCACUGAUGACGAGGCUAGAAAGAAAGACGACAAUAAGAAAAGAAUUCAAAAUGGCGGCGCUUAUGCCGAUAACAAUGGCGGCGUAAAUCCUCAACCAAAUGGAGCCAUAAAACAAAAUGGCAACUACAAAGCCUCUAGUGUUGAGGUUAAAUAAGUCCAUUUCGAUGGAGGAAAAUUAUAUGAUACUCGAAAAGAACAUCUUUCUUAACCCAGAUUUUUUGAAAAUUAAGAGGAAUUUUGUUGAAUUUUACAACAGUAUUAGUAAUAUGAUUGAUACCAGUUUACAACCUUUAUUUUGAUACAACCAUUCCACGAUUAAAUGCAUACAUUCCAAUCAAUCUGAAACAAAAGAUAUUUUCUAUUAACUUUGCAACAAAACUUUUUUUCUACAUGUGCCCUUCUUCAAGCAAAACAGUUCUGAUUUAUCAAUCCUCAUACUGAUCUUAACAUAAGAUGUUUUGAUCUUCACAAUUUUCCUGACAACAACUUAAAUUUUUUUUAAUUCUUAUAUUCUAAAAAACUUUUCUAUCUAUUUUUAAGAUGUCUUAGAAAAUUCAUUUUAAAGUCACAACGGGUAUUUAAUAAAACUGCACUAAAAAAUUAGUUUUGUAAGUUUUAGACCUCCAUUUUGUUAAAUCUCACUGCUUCAACGAAACACGCCAAGUCCAUAUUUUUGCACUCGUCUUCCAAAUGUUGAAAAAAAUUGCUUGCUGAAAAGGUUUUAUUUUAUGAAAUGCAUCAAGCAAAGGUUAUCUAAUUUCUAUUUAACAAUUUUGAUAUUUGCAACUAUUCCGUCCAGUUAAUGAAAUAUCGCACAAACCUUUUAAGGAUCUCUAUAAAGAAACAUUAAAUUCAUUUUUAAAAAAACAUGUUUUGCUUUUUAAGAAAUUUAAUUUUAUAUACUUUGUUUUACUUAUUUUUACAAAUACGUUUUACAAUUAUCUUGCAAUUUGUUGACCAAUAUUAUCUACUUAACUUCUUGUUACUGUGUAUUAUGUUAAUUUGUACCUUAUAUAUACAUUCCUUUGUAUUUUCUAUUUAACUGUCUCCAACACGUCAGAUAAAAACUACUUCUUCCUUUUACACGUUAAUCACGGCCUUACUUAAAUAAAAAUAUGAUCUAGAUUUAAACACUAAUUUCCUGCUUUUUAUAUCAGCUAGGAUUUCCAAUAAAAGUUGGAAACCUACUGGGGAAAUUCUGGUUAUCCCCUACCGGGGGAUUUUUACUACUUUUUAACCCUAAAUUAUUCUCGACAAUCUUUUAUAACUAUUGGAAAUAUGCAUUUCUUACUUUAAGAUUAUUUUAUUUUGCAAAAGAUAUGAGACAUGUAUUUGAAUUUUUGUACAGUUGCGCAAUUUUACAUAUUUUUGACACUUCGACUUUAGUGAUAUGAAUAAUCAGUGUAUAAUGUCCAACAAAAACCAAUCAAACUGUAUACUAAAAUGCACAAAUGUAAUCAUAUCUAGAUGUAUAUUUUUAUGUACUUGCACAUUGCUCAGGCGCACAGAACAGUAGCACUGCAAACAGAGAUUAUAGAGAUCUUAGUAUAGAAAAUAAAGCUCUGCGUUCAUAUAUAUGUAUGUUAGCUAUUGCCGGCCAAACGGGUAGCCCAAAUUGGCUGAAUUUUUUAGGAAGCCGAUGGGCACCCUGGAGGUAACCAAAGCUAGAUAAAUUAAAACAAAAAUUAAAAUCUAUUUUUUUGUAUUUCACUGUCAGCGCCGGGCACAUCAUCUAGUAAUAUAUAAGACAGUUCUUUAAUCUCUGGAGGUAGGAACACACUAGAAUAUGGAUUUACAAUUUACGCAUUUUAUCCAAUAUUGUAAUCGUAGAGGCCAAGCAUUGGAGAUAAACAUCCUCCGAAAUAUUUUGUUUAACCGUUAUUUUUAAAUUUUAAAAAAAUUAUUAAACUUCAAUUUUUGAAUAAAAAAGGUGGGGCUGGUUCUUUUUUAAACGAAAGAUUUUGGAGGAUUUUAUUUUUGUUGAUCCAUGGGAAAACUGAAGAGCAUUGACCCAACCAGUUUGUUAUGUGAUUAAAUUACGAAAAUCAGCAUUUUAUUGUUCGUAUGUUAAAUGUUUUUUCAAUAAAUGUCCACUCAAUGUUGGAAUAUACCCCUGAU
rnacentral:misc_RNA from 1 species